rnacentral:lncRNA from 1 species
GAAGAAGUAUUAGUCCCAAACUGAUUCAGCCUGAACCAGCUAGAUACAAGUUGACUUGGCAUAGCUUGUUUCAGAUUCUAACUAAAGUAGUCGCAAGUCCAAAAGAUCCUUGAACAGUGGUUGGAACAAUGCUGACUUGAAUUGAACAGAAUAUGUUGGUAAAGUUUCACUCCUUCAAUUCCAGAAGUGUAGAUCUGUUUGUAGCAGCCGCGGCAAUACACACCGUCGAACAAUUUUCAGGCAAUUAAGACCGGUUUAAAGAACCAAAGAGACAGAGCUCUGAUACCAUGUGGAAAAGAAUAAUUUUUCUCACAAUAUUUCUUUCUAAUCAAUACAGUUACAUAUUUAUAGGAAAAAACAUAAUCUAGUCUUUCCUAAAAUAACUCCUAAAUUAAUUUCUCUAAUGUUGCUAAUUUAAAACUCCUAUAAUUAUGCUAAUUACAGCUAACUAAAAGAUAUUUUCCACAAGUUCUAUAUAAGUUUAUGCAUGUUUCAAUUGAAUUAACUGCUCCCAAGUUUACAAAGGCAAUUACUGGAAGGAAAUGACUUCGUAAAUUCCGCAUAUCUUCACUUGCUUAACUGAAUGAAUGUCAAUUUAGAAUACCAUUUGACAACUUCACCUCUAAAAUAGUUGCAUAUAAUCAACA